GAAACUUUAAGGUCAUCAUAACUCAGGUUAUAAACAGAAGGAACAGCACAAUACAGGAAAAAAAACCAAGAGAAGGUACCUACAACUGAGCUAUAUCAUCUCAGCAAGCAUUAAUCAUGGAUCACUAUUUGUGACAUAAUAAAACUACAAGUUCCUGUAUAGAAUUCUAAUCAUUUUCACAAGAACAUUGUUCAUCCAAAUCAGCAAGUAGCACAAGAAACUCUGAAUCUGAAACGAGAAAAGCUUGGCCAGGUUGACAUAGGUAAUCUUGACUAGGGAUGGUGAUGGCCAUUUUUGCUGUCACUGUCCAUUUCCUCCGCAUCUUCAAACCUUUGAUCAUUAAUCUGAAGCUGAAGUACAUUAUGAGCUAAGUCGUGAUCCCCAUUUGAAUGACCAAU
rnacentral:misc_RNA from 1 species